GACGAACGCUGGCGGCGUGCUUAACACAUGCAAGUCGAGCGGUAAGGCCCUUUCGGGGGUACACGAGCGGCGAACGGGUGAGUAACACGUGGAUAACCUGCCUCAAAGUAGGGGAAGUAACACCGGGAAACCGGUGCUAAUACCGCAUAUUCUGAUGGAAUCUGUGGAUUUCGUCAGUAAAGGAGCAAUUCGCUAUGAGAGGGGUCCGCGGCUGAUUAGCUAGUUGGUGAGGUAAUGCNCACCAAGGCAACGAUCAGUAGCCGGUCUGAGAGGACGGUCGGCCACACUGGAACUGAGACACGGUCCAGACUCCUACGGGAGGGCAGC
rnacentral:rRNA from 1 species